UACGUAGGGGGCGAGCGUUGUCCGGAUUUAUUGGGCGUAAAGAGCGUGUAGGCGGCCAGGUAGGUCUGCUGUGAAAACUCGAGGCUCAACCUCGGGCCUGCAGUGGGUACGGGCAGACUAGAGUGCGGUAGGGGAGAUUGGAAUUCCUGGUGUAGCGGUGGAAUGCGCAGAUAUCAGGAGGAACACCAAUGGCGAAGGCAGAUCUCUGGGCCGUAACUGACGCUGAGGAGCGAAAGCAUGGGGAGCGAACAGG
rnacentral:rRNA from 1 species